UCAAGCUACUAAGGGUGCACGGGGGAUGCCUAGGCGCCAAGAGACGAUGAAGGACGUGGCAAGCUGCGAUAAGCCUCGGGGAGCCGCAAACAGGCUUUGAUCCGGAGAUUUCCGAAUGGGAAACCUGCUGCGGGUCAUGCUGCAGCAUCCCCGCCUGAAUUCAAUAGGGCGGGUCGAGGACAAAUGGGGUGAAGUAACACAUUCUAGUAGCCCCGAGAAAGAAAAACAACAGUGACUUCCUGAGUAGCGGCGAGCGAAAGGGAACCAGCCUAAACCGAUUGCAUGUCAAGCCCGUGUGCGUUGUGCAAUCGGGGUCGUGGGAGCCUCUAGGGGCGUAUACGGACGCUCCGGAGAGUUACAAAAUGCCCAUCUAGCCGAACGACCUGGAACGGUCGACCACAGACGGUGACAGUCCGGUAGGCGAAAGAUGCGGUGUCUCUCUGAGGAUUUCCCAAGUAAUGCCGGACACGUGGAACCUGGCAUGAAUCCGGGGGGACCACCCCCUAAGGCUAAGUACUACUUGGCGACCGAUAGCGAAACAGUAGCGCGAGCGAAAGGUGAAAAGAACCCCUGCAAGGGAAGUGAAAAGUUCCUGAAACCGUGCACUUACACAGCGGUCGGAGGGCUAUGCCGGGGGCGCAAGCGCCCGGAAUGCCUGACGGCGUGCCUAUCGGUUAAUGACCCUGCGAGUCAGCCUGUACAGCUUGGUUAAGCCCCUCUGGGGCGGAGCCAUAGUGAAAGCGAGCGUUAAAAGCGCGACACUGUUGUGCGGGCUGGACGCGAAGCCGCGGCGAUCUAACCAUGGCCAGGUCGAAGUGGGUGUAGCAACUCAUGGAGGACCGAACUCUUCUCCGUUGAAAAGGGGUGAGAUGAGCUGUGGUUAGGAGUGAAAGGCUAAUCAAGCCCGGUGAUAUCUCGUUCUCCCCGAAAUAACUUUAGGGUUAGCCUCGAGCCAAUGGACGAUGGGGGUAGAGUGACCGGAUGGAUUUUGAGGGGCUUACCGGCUCGCUCAGUCCAACCAAACUCCGAAUACCAUCGCACCUUAACUCGGGAGUCGGUCCGUGGGGGCUAAGCUUCACGGGCGAGAGGGAAACAGCCCAGACCGCCAGCUAAGGUCCCGAAGACGAUCUAAGUUCGCAAGGAAGUGGAGACGCUAAGACAGCCAGGAUGUUGGCUUAGAAGCAGCCACCAUUUAAAAAGUGCGUAACAGCUUACUGGCCGAGCGUUUCUGCGCCGAAAAUUAACGGGAAUCAAGAUCGUCGCCGAAGCUGCGGGAGGCAAGAGACUGCGCGUCUUUUGUCUCGGUAGGGGAGCGUUCCACGCAGGAUGAAGGGAGACCGUGAGGACUCCUGGACGACGUGGAAGUGAUGAUGCAGGGACGAGUAGCGAUAAUGGGUAGUGAGAAUCACCCACACCGUAAGCCCAAGGUUUCCUGGGGCAGGUAAGUCCGCCCAGGGUAAGUCGGGACCUAAGGCGAGGCCGAAAGGCGUAGCUGAUGGACAACGGGUUAAUACUCCCGUACCGCGGGCUGGGCGAUCAAGACACUGAAGGGGCCAGGGGAAGGCUAAUGCUGGUGGAGCGGCUGGAGUUCCGCCCAUCGAAUCCGUAGGGGGAUCCGCCAGGCAAAUCCGGUGGGUCAUACACCCUGAGGGAGGAAGUAGGGGUCUAACCGACCCUAGGCAGCUGAUGCCAGGCCUCCGAGAAAAACCUCGUCAGUGAGUCCAGAACGCGCCCGUACCAAAACCAACACACGUGGGCGGGGUGAAAAUCCUAAGGUGCUCGGAUGAGCCCCCGUUAAGGAACUCGGCAAAUUAGCUCCGUAACUUCGGGAGAAGGAGCGCCCGAACUGGUGAGUCCCCUCGCGGGACAGAGCUGGAGCGGGCCGCAGUGAAAGGGGUCAGGCGACUGCUUACCAAAAGCACAGGACUGUGCGAAGCCUUUAGGGCGACGUAUACAGUCUGACGCCUGCUCGGUGCCGGAAGGUUAAGGCAAGGGGUCAGAGGGGGCAACCCUUCGAAGCUCUGAACCGAAGCCCCGGUUAACGGCGGCCGUAACUAUGACGGUCCUAAGGUAGCGAAGUUCCUUGUCAGGUAAGUUCUGACGCGCAUGAAUGGCGUAACGACUUGACCGGUGUCUCAACGGGGAGUCCGGCGAAACUGUAGCAGUGGUGAAGAUGCCACUUACCCGCGGCAAGACGGAAAGACCCCGUGGACCUUUACUGUACUCUAAUAUUGGGUCCCUGUGCGUGUUGUGUAGGAUAGGUGGGAGCCGUUGAGGUCCGGGCGCUAGCUCGGGCGGAGGCGCCGUUGAAAUACCACCCUUCUCGUACGGUGAUUCUAACCGGAAUACCUGUGAAGCCAGGGCCGGGACAGUGUUAGACGGGCAGUUUAACUGGGGCGGUUUCCUCCCAAAGAGUAACGGAGGAGUUCAAAGGUUCCCUCAGCGCGGUUGGCAAUCGCGCGCCGAGUGCAAGGGCAUAAGGGAGCUUAACUGCGAGUCCGAUGGGACAAGCAGAUGCGAAAGCAGGACCUAGUGAUCCGGCGGUUCUGAGUGGAAGGGCCGUCGCUCAACAGAUAAAAGGUACCCCGGGGAUAACAGGCUGAUCUCCCCCAAGAGUUCACAUCGACGGGGAGGUUUGGCACCUCGAUGUCGACUCAUCGCAUCCUGGGGCUGCAGUCGGUCCCAAGGGUUCGGCUGUUCGCCGAUUAAAGCGGUACGUGAGUUGGGUUCAGACCGACGCGAGUCAGGUCGGUCUCUAUCUGCCGUGGGCGCAGGAGAGUUGAAGGAGAACCUUUCCUAGUACGAGAGGAUUGGAAAGGACGGACCCCUGGUGUUCCAGCUAUGCCGCCAGGCGUACUGCUGGGUAGCUACGUCCGGAAAGGAUAAGCGCUGAAAGCAUCUAAGUGUGAAGCCUCCUCCAAGAUGAACUCUCCGAGUAAGGGCCCUCGUAGACUACGAGGUUGAUAGGCCGGGUGUGUAAUGCCGCAAGGCCCAGCUGACCGGUACUAAUCGCCCGCGUGCUUGACCG
rnacentral:rRNA from 1 species